UUAAUUUCCAAAUAUACACAGACCAAGCACAUAUAACCUGCAACUUGCCAUGGAUUUCCUUUAAACCUUUCCUCUUCAGUUUGUCUCUUCGAUACUUACAUACAAAUUAAUAUCCAUUAUAAAUAUAUAUAUAUUUGCUGAGAAUUUUUGACAUAUAAAGAAGGGGAUGUCAAGAGUAGUUGCAGAGAAUUUAUCCCCUACACCGGCAAGAGAUAGAGUGCUGUUUUUUGAUCGGAGAGAGGGUGUGGAGAUGCCAGGAGUCGGUGCACCGGCAACGCCCACGUUGGGACAUCUUUUAAAAGUUGUUGGAGAUAUGAGGAAGGAGGUUACUGGCGACGAGACUCCAGUGCACCAGGUGCUUGAAAUGAGAGAAAAUGGGAUGGAGGC
rnacentral:lncRNA from 1 species